AUCCAAAUGACCUUAUUAGUGUUCUUGUCCAUUUCUGUCAUUGGAAAUGUUUUCCUCAUCUUCUACCAAAGAUUAUGGAAACCAUAUAAAGGAACAGAAAGUGCUAUAUCAGGAGCACAAAAUGACAAAUUGCACCAAGCUCAGGGUGAAGCUGAUGAAGAGCUAAACUACGCCUCAAUUAAUUUCUCUGAAAGAAAAACAAAAGGAAGACGGAAGAGAGAGUUUGCUGAGGACAGCGUCUACUCUCAAGUUAAAUGUUGAACUUCAUGACAAUGUUGAGCAUUUCCUGAAUUUUAAAAGGAACCUCAUAUUCUGUUAUUGACCUUAUAUUUGAGACUUGGCAAUUUGUUUGUUCCACCAUUUGGGCUCUCAAAGCCUGUAACUUCGAUUUAUUGCAUAUCUGAGGGCAAAAUUUGA